rnacentral:rRNA from 1 species
CCUACGGGAGGCAGCAGUAGGGAAUCUUCCACAAUGGGCGCAAGCCUGAUGGAGCAACACCGCGUGAGUGAAGAAGGGUUUCGGCUCGUAAAGCUCUGUUGUUGGAGAAGAACGUGCGUGAGAGUAACUGUUCACGCAGUGACGGUAUCCAACCAGAAAGUCACGGCUAACUACGUGCCAGCAGCCGCGGUAAUACGUAGGUGGCAAGCGUUAUCCGGAUUUAUUGGGCGGAAAGCGAGCGCAGGCGGUUGCUUAGGUCUGAUGUGAAAGCCUUCGGCUUAACCGAAGAAGUGCAUCGGAAAUCGGGCAACUUGAGUGCAGAAGAGGGAAGUGGAACUCCAUGGGUAGCGGUGGAAUGCGUAGAUAUAUGGAAGAACACCAGUGGCGAAGGCGGCUGUCUGGUCUGCAACUGACGCUGAGGCUCGAAAGCAUGGGUAGCGAACAGGAUUAGAUACCCUUGUAGUC